CUCUGCCUUUUCGAUGCCCUCACGCCUAAGAGUCAACUCCAGCAAUUGGAAUAGCUGGUAAGAACCACAGGGCUGCCACUCUUCUUUGAAGAAGAGUCAUAGCCAGUCCUCAGGAGUGGAGGUGGAAAAGGAGAGAAUUUUACAGAAGUAUUCUCUCCUCACUGAAUCACAAAGGUGACUUUGCUACCUCUACUUUCUAUAAACUCUGAUGAUAGCAGAAUAAUUGAAGAUUCAGCUUCAGACUGGGGCCCUUGAGGAACACUGACUUGGGCAGUCACCUAUGGACAAGACAGUUUUUGUGGAAGUCAGCGCUUCCAGAGGAGAAAUUGCAGCACGCUGUUGAAACAAAUAAACAAAAUAAUUUUGGUCACUUUGGAAUAGGUAAGUGGAAUAGUUUGGUUUUACCCACAUCCCUCAUCCCCUAA
rnacentral:lncRNA from 1 species